rnacentral:rRNA from 1 species
UACGUAGGUGACCAGCGUUGUCCGGAUUUACUGGGCGUAAAGAGCGCGCAGGCGGUCCUUCAAGUCGAGUGUGAAAGCCCCCGGCUCAACUGGGGAGGGUCAUUCGAUACUGAUCGACUGGAAGGCAGGAGAGGGAAGUGGAAUUCCCGGUGUAGUGGUGAAAUGCGUAGAUAUCGGGAGGAACACCAGUGGCGAAGGCGACUUCCUGGCCUGUUCUUGACGCUGAGGCGCGAAAGCUAGGGGAGCAAACGGG